AUGUUCAUAAAUAAAAGAAACUUUGUAAUUCUGACCUCAUCAGACUGCUAGGGAUGAUUGCAACUUCAGCAAUGGCUCUGAUUUCUUUUCAGCUGAUGCCCAUCUCUGAUACAUGUUUAGGAAACAUCCUGAAUAGAAAAAACUAUUUCUGAUGGAAAAGUUAGGCAAAAAUCCAAAGUUGAAAUGGUCAAAGGGCUAUUUAUAUAUCUUAAAAUUUAGACAAGUAGUGUACUUAGGACUUUUCCCUCAGUUUUUACCCUUAAGUUAUAUUGUAAAUCACCAUUACCUGUGCUACCUCUGGUGUCUUUAUAGUGCUGAGAAAAUUUUUAGAUAUUCAUAUACAGUUACUGCUUAAACAAUGCAGAGGGUUGGGGACACUGAUUGUCCACAGUUGAAAAUCGGUAUAUAACAUAUUUGGCCCUCCAAAUGGAUGGUUUUUUACACCUAAAGAUUUAGCAAUCACACAUUUUAUAAUAUUAUCAUAUAUUUUAAAAUUAACAUAUAAAUGGACCCAUACAAUUUAAAUCUGAGUUUUUCAAGGGUCAACUGAAUGGUGGUCAUUAGUUUCUAAGUGAGAAACCCUAAGUCACUAGGAGCGUUUAAUCAGACUCUUGACUGUGAAAUGGUGUCUCUUGCUACUGCAAAUAAUUUGCAUGAAUACACUUCAGUGAUGUUCUCAAAGUUGUUCAGUCACCAAGUUGUGUCCAUCUCUUCACGAUCCCCUGGACUGCAGCACACCAGGCUUCUCUGUCCCUCACCAUCUCCCAGUGUUUGCCCAAGUUCAUGUCCAUUGCACAGGUGGUGGCAUCCAACCAUCUCAACCUCUGUCGCCCUCUACUCCUUCUGCCUUUGAUCUUUCCCAGCAUCAGAAUCUUUCCAAUGAGUCAGCUCUUCGCAUCAGGUGGCCAAAGUAUUAGAGAUUCAGCAUCAGUCCUUCCAAUGAGUAUUCAGGGUUGAUUUCCUGUGAGAUUGACUGGUUUGAUCUCCUUUAUGUACAAUGAACUCUCAGAAGUCUUCUCCAGCACCAAGGUUCAGAAGCAUCCAUUCUUCCACGCUCCGCCUUGCUUUUGGUUCAGCUCUCAACAACCGUAUGUAACCACUGGAAAGACCAUAACCUUGACUAUAAAGACCUUUGUUGGUUCUCAUAGUACUAAUGCCAGAAGCUUAGCCUCUCCACACUGGUGCUGAAUUGAAUCUGAGUCAGUGAGUUUGAAUUUAACCUUAGAGUUUGGAGUAAAGUAGAAAAGAAUAGCUUUGUUGCUUUGCCAGGCAAGGGGGAAAACAGACGGUGUGUGCCCAUGAAAAAAAUGCCCUAGCAGGGAGGAUCUGGUAAGGAGUUCUAUAGCACUGAUUCAGUGGCAGAGUUGCUGAUAGAUGACGAUGUGUGCAGAGUCUGUGCUCCAUUAACCUGGUUGCAGAUAAUGUCUUGAUGACUUUUCCUGAUUCCUUUUAAUCUGGUCUCAGACGGUCUUCUCUGGAAUGAAGAAUGCUGACCUCUAUUUAUCGAGGGUUUCAUUUCUAUGUGCAUCCAUGAUGAAAUCUAUGUGUGCUGUUUUUUUUUUUUUUUUUUUGGAAUUUGUGUGCAUCUUUUGUGUUUUGGUGUUAUAAAACUUAUAAAAAUGGGAAAUGUUUCACCUAUCCAAAGAAAGAUCUUUGGGGUGCAUGUUAGAUAUGUUAAAAUCAGACAGUAAUGACCCCUGAAUGGGUCACAACUAAACAAUCUGGUAGUCAGAAGCGCUUUACAAAGGGGAGAACAGUUUAAAAAUGAACAUGCCCAGGGGUCUCCUUUGGACUUCAGGCAUCGAGUUAUAAGUUCCCCUACAGAAGCCCCAGAGAAGAAUAUGGCAACCAACUCCAGUAAUCUUGCCUGGAGAAUUUCAUGGACAGAGGAGCCUCAGAUCAGUUCAGUCGCUCAGUCAUGUCAGACCCUUGUGACCCCAUGGACUGCAUCACUCCAGGAGUUGGUGAUCGACAGAAGUCCAGUGUGCUGCAGUUCAUGAAGUCAGAAAGGGUCGGACACAACUGAGGGACUGAACUGAACUGAAAUGAGGCAGAACCAGGAUCCUGUCCCAAGGCUGCACUGCUGUUUCUUGGCUGUUCCUCCCUUGUUUUUUGCAUCCUCUCUCUUCCCUAAUUAGCAACUGUUUGAAUCUGUCUUUCAGGACUCAGGGAAGGUCAUGGAGGCUAGAGUCUGUUCCCUACAAAAAAUGAGUGGGGGACACGGACACAGAAACAUUUCUGUGCCCAUGAGCCACACAGGAUCCUGCUUGGUUUCAGUACAGGACACCAAAGACAGGUAUUGAUAAAAAGGGAAGAAGACUGAAUAGUGUACCUUUCAUCCUUGAGGGAGAAAUAAUCAUACUCAACCAUUUUUAUAGCAGUAAAGAGGUAAUGACUUUGUGAUACGAAAAUGCCCACAUUAAGGAUCAGUUCAGUUCAGUUCAGUCGCUCAGUCGUGUCUGACUCUUUGCGACCCCAUGAAUUGCAGAACACCAGGCCUCUCUGUACAUCAUCAACUC
ensembl:lncRNA